GUAAAAUUGACUAUACUCAAAGCUUGAAUAGUCCCCCAGACAUUAGUGUUAUAAAUUAAUGAUUAGAAAUAUAAUUCCUUGUAUACGUCUUUCUGCCAUCGCAUCUUUCAAAUGCAAAGUCAGUAUGGAAUAAGAAUCAGAGAAAUGUAACCUGACAUUGAACUUGAAACCAAACACAUUGACAAAACAAAAGAACACAAGCAGAAAAAAAGAAAAGGGAACUUUGAAAAUCAUCUUCAUAAGGCAUUCUGAAUCUGCAACAAUCUAUUUUUCCAGAUUAACAAAUCUUGGUCUCUUCUAGGUGUUUUGAACUAGAUUACUGACUGGCCAUCUGUGGCAGGCCCACUCCUGGAUGUCAUGCCCCUGUUAAUGAAAUCUGGGCGUGCGCUCGUAAACAGACCUGGUGAAUGGUAGACGUCAGCCAUUGCGUGAUGGACAAUCAUCAAUCAUCCAUUGUCAGUUAUUUCUGUCCCAAGACAGGGUCUCUCUAUGUUGCCCAGGCUGGAGUGCAGUGACUAUUCACAGGUGCAAUCAGAGCUCAUCAUAGUCUCCAAACUCCUGCUCUCAAGUGAUCUUCCUGCCUCAGCUUACGUAGUAGUGGAGACAGCAGGAGACCCACAGGUUUUUGAGAAUGUUAUACCAACAUUACCAGUUAUAUAAACACUGCCAGCUUGAAUCAAAAGGAAUAAAGGAUGAAUGGAGGAAGAUUGUUUUACUCCCCAAAUUCUACAAGCAAGAAACUGGCUGAUGAAACUACUCAGCUGCAAA